AUUGAACGCUGGCGGCAUGCUUUACACAUGCAAGUCGAACGGCAGCACGGACUUCGGUCUGGUGGCGAGUGGCGAACGGGUGAGUAAUACAUCGGAACGUGCCCAGUUGUGGGGGAUAACUACUCGAAAGAGUAGCUAAUACCGCAUGAGAACUGAGGUUGAAAGCAGGGGAUCGUAAGACCUUGCGCAACUGGAGCGGCCGAUGGCGGAUUAGGUAGUUGGUGGGAUAAAAGCUUACCAAGACGAAGAUCUGUAGCUGGUCUGAGAGGACGACCAGCCACACUGGGACUGAGACACGGCCCAGACUCCUACGGGAGGCAGCAGUGGGGAAUUUUGGACAAUGGGCGAAAGCCUGAUCCAGCAAUGCCGCGUGCAGGAUGAAGGCCUUCGGGUUGUAAACUGCUUUUGUACGGAACGAAAAGCUUCGGGUUAAUACCCUGGAGUCAUGGCGGUACCGUAAGAAUAAGCACCGGCUAACUACGUGCCAGCCGCCGCCGUAAAAC
rnacentral:rRNA from 1 species